AGAGUUUGAUCCUGGCUCAGAUUGAACGCUGGCGGCAGGCCUAACACAUGCAAGUCGAACGGUAACAGGAAGCAGCUUGCUGCUUUGCUGACGAGUGGCGGACGGGUGAGUAAUGUCUGGGAAACUGCCUGAUGGAGGGGGAUAACUACUGGAAACGGUAGCUAAUACCGCAUAACGUCGCAAGACCAAAGAGNGGGGACCUUCGGGCCUCUUGCCAUCGGAUGUGCCCAGAUGGGAUUAGCUAGUAGGUGGGGUAAAGGCUCACCUAGGCGACGAUCCCUAGCUGGUCUGAGAGGAUGACCAGCCACACUGGAACUGAGACACGGUCCAGACUCCUACGGGAGGCAGCAGUGGGGAAUAUUGCACAAUGGGCGCAAGCCUGAUGCAGCCAUGCCGCGUGUAUGAAGAAGGCCUUCGGGUUGUAAAGUACUUUCAGCGGGGAGGAAGGGAGUAAAGUUAAUACCUUUGCUCAUUGACGUUACCCGCAGAAGAAGCACCGGCUAACUCCGU
rnacentral:rRNA from 1 species